GGGGCCAUAGCUCAGUCGGUUAGAGCAAGCGACUCAUAAUCGUUGUGUCCAGGGUUCAAGUCCCUGUGGCCCUACCA
rnacentral:tRNA from 2 species